UGUUAGGAUUGUAGCAUCUAAGUACUGUACAUGGUGACAGUGUCACUUCUGCAAAUACUUUUUAUCUUCUUUUUCAACAGAUGGUACUUCAUCUGUGUGUUUCUGCUGAUGAUCAAAGGGACUCAGGGUGUUACUGGAGACUCUGUGGUCUUAACAUGUAAUUGCAGUUACAUUAAGCAUCAAGACCAAAUUCAAAAUAUUACUGUACACUGGAGAGACAGUAAUGGCAAGACUGUGUAUAGCAUAAUUAGGGGCAAAGGAACAGAUGCAGAACAAGAUCCAGCAUACAGGAACAGAGUCAAAAUUUUCCCCAAGGAUAAUGUGAAAUGGAAAUGUUCCAUCAAAAUCAACAAUUUUCAACUCACUGAUGAAGGAAUUUACACCUUUUAUAUCACAGAGCCUACAAGUCUACAAUGUUCUGGAAGCAUAGAAGUACAAGUGAAAGAUAGGCCAGGAGGAAGAGGGAACAAUGGGAAACCAGAGUGGAUUGUUUAUUUAUUGUGUAGCAUUUUAGUUGUGAUUGUUAUAUCUGUUUAAUAUUUGAUUGUAUAUAGUGUUAAGUGUUUUUUUCAGAGCCUACCCCAUAGAUGUUUAAUUGGCUGUCUUCCUCCAACUGGUCCUUGAGAAAAACACUUAUUAUAAAGUCCUAAUGUCCAACUUUAAUUGCUGUUCUAUUGCACGUUGCCUAGUAGGAAGUUGAAAAUUCCAACUUUCCGAGUUGAAUGGAAUGCAGCACAAAUCCUGAUUAAAUUCUGCUGUAUCUUUGGCCCCAUUUACAUCUGGCAUUACAAUGCGUUUUUGGUGAUCAGAUCGCUAUCAGAUUGCACUUGACAACUUUAAAUGUCAGGUGUAAAUGAACCCCAGACACAUUGAGAUCGGAUCACUGAAACCACAUUUGGAGGUGGUCAGGAAAGGAUUCUGACCACAUUCAAAGAAGGUAUAAAUGCAAAUGUGUUUUUGUUAUCUGGAAACAACUACAUAAGUGAUUAAUUAUGUAACGAUUUAUGUGUGCGAUACAGUCAACCAUUUUGUAAAGCACUGUGUUGUAGGUUCUUGCCUUUUCUGUUUAUUCGGCCAUCAAAAUGUGAAGAACACAACAGACACCGCUGUCUUGCAAUCUUGGCAUCCAAUUUAAUAAAAAAUAUCCCAUGAAUUACUACUUUGGAAUACACUUGGAAUAUCUUGUCUCUCUCCUCAAACCCCCACUUGCAUCUCUCUUCUGGUCUGUUUUCUAAUUACUGUGGCACAGGUGCAGCAUAUUUAGUACUCGACACAAGAUAAACA